UCGAGACCAUGUUAGUAAACUGCACGCUUUAGUUGUGAAGCAAAAGCGCUGAAAUCGGAGUAAUAGCACGUACGAAGGGGAUGAUAACGACGACUAGAUUCUCCCGAUCGUUUACCCUUGCUGUCCUGUGAAAAACAUCGGCGUAGUGUUAAUUGUUUGCUGUUUUCGCGAUCGCGUCGCGCAUGAGAAUAUCACCAGUUUCCAGCAUUACAUGAUGAAACCUAAAGGACUGGCUAUUGCAGUUGUGGCUCAGUAUGUCAUCAUGCCUCUUACAGCCUUUUUCAUAGCUAAGGUGUUCCAGUUCAGUGAUAUAACAGCUGUGGUUAAUCUGGUCUGUGGCUGCUGUCCUGGAGGAACUCUCUCUAACACCCUGACUCUGGGUCUACAGGUGGACAUGAACCUCAGAAUCUACCUUCUCUCACCUCAACCAGUCCUGGCGGAUGGCCGCCCCUCCCUGAGCCUGGUUCUGCCAGAGGUUUCUUCCUGUUAAAAGGGAGUUUUUCCUUCCCACUGUCGCCAAACUACUUGCUCAUGGGGGAUCAUAUGAUUGUUGGGUUUUUCUCUGAAUGUAUUAUUGUAGAGUCUACCUUACAAUAUAAAGCAUCUUGAGGUUACUGAAUUGAAAUAAUGAGGAGUUUUACUGGUGUACCUAAUAAAGUGGCUGAUGAGUACAUAUGGGAACUGGAGGAACCAGGUCAAAACAAACUUCAGUAAGUGUGUAUCUAAAGUGUUUUUGGACAAUAACAAGGUUCUAUAUAACUUCUGUACUUCUUAGUGUAUCCGUUUAUUCUUCUUUUCAUUGAGUUUGAUGAGAAUAAUUAAAAUAUAGAACAACAUAAUUCAAGUCAAGUCAAGUUGGCUUUAUUGUCACUUCAGCCAUAUACAGUUUGUACACAGUGAGGCGAAACAGCGUUCCUAAUUAAUUGUUAAAGAUAUAAAACAAGAAUAGAAGCUAAACAAUGAUUUGCUUCCUAUCUUGUUGUUCUCAGGUAUCACUACACUCAAAAAAAUGAAAUUGGGUGGUUGUUGCAUGUACAAGAUUCAAACUUGUAAGUUGAACUAAAUGAUUUCAUGUUUCUAUGGUGAAAGUAACUAAAUCAUGUAGCAUCUGCAUGAAAUUCAGCAACUUAAUUUGUUCUUGUUGAGAUGACAUGAUACAAUCUAGUAAGAGUGGUUAGUUGCCUGGACUCACGAAAUUCACAAGAUCACAUUAGAUGUCAAACUGCAGGAAAAUCGCUGCAGUUUUAAGAGGCAGACAACAACACCCACACCACGUGUAUGCUAUCGCUAUUUAUUGUGGUUUAACCUGUCGAGGACAAAAACGUACAGAGAAUUCUGCAUCAAGCCUUGUAAUCAUAGCUUUCCUAGUUUUGUUAAGCCUGGAUUGACAGCUUGGUGACGUGAUGGUUAGUGCUGUUGCCUCACAGCAAGAAGGGCCUGGGUUCAAAUCCACAAUCCAGCUGGUUUGCAGUGUGUAAGUAGAGUUAAUUGGUGAUUCUAAAUUACCCAUGAAUGUAAGUGCAAAUAGUUGUUUGCUAUGAAAUCAUCAACCCCCAUAUUGGUUCAUUAAGCAAGACUAGCAGUUAUUCCCUUGAUUAACAAAGUAGUUGUUCAAACAACAAGAUUUCAUUUCAUUCAUUCAUUAAAUCACUUCAAGUCAAUGUAAGAAUACUACAUCUGAUUACAUUAAACCACCAAAUGCCAAAUGUGUUGGUUUGACAUGGUCAAAAAUGGGUUAUUGUACUUGGUUAAAUCACGUGGAAAUAGGUGCCAUGAUUAAAUUGUGUUCAUCCAACAACAGAUUUUUUUUUGAGUGUAUAAUGGUGAUUUUUUUUUUUCGUGGCGAUCUUUAUCUUAACAUGCAUUGAAAAUGGAGACAUUGCCAAGGCUGUGCUGUCUCCUUCACUCUUGGCCACUGGUGCUCUCAUGCCUUUCAUGGGCUUCUCCUUUGGAUAUCUGUUCUCUGGGAUCUUCAGACUCGGCCAUGCGUAAGUGGGUUUAUUCAGUCACUGACAGAUAUUGUUAGCGGUCAUAUGAGCCUUUCUGUAUCUCUCUCUCUCUCACUAUAUAUAUAUAUAUACAUAUAUAUAUAUAUAUAUAUAUAUCACAUGUGAAUUACUCUAUCUGCCCUCAGGGAAUGGAGGACCGUUUCUAUGGAAACAGGCUGCCAGAAUAUCAUGCUGGGCUCCACCACAUUGAAGAUUGCUUUCCCCCAGGAAGUGAUAGGCGGUCUACAUGGUGUUUCAGCUGUUGGAGGGGAUGGUUCUCACCGUGCUGUUUAGGUGCUAAAAGAGAAAGUAGAAAGGUAAGCGUGAUAGCAGGUUUCAGAGUUUGCAUGUUGACAAAGGCCUUUUACGUCUAUUAACAGCAUAAUAUUGUAUUUUCACAAAGGGGUAAUAGUUCAAAUGUAUUGUUCCAUGCAUCGUUGUGUGUAGCAGGCAGGUUAGGACCCAAAUGCAGGACUCUCAGGAUAGACUGAACUUAACAACAGCUUUAUUUAACACUUAACUAAUUACAAGGACCUUAAAUGGCAGGAACUCCAGCGUGGUAAUAAGGAUUUUUAAAAGAUGUGCACAAAGCUGCAUCUGGUCAGUCGGGAAAACCACCCUGACUGAUAAGAGAUAUUUGUACCUUCAUGCAAUAAAGAGGACACAUAUGUUGUAUCACAAGAGGGCUGAUCAAUUUGUUUUACCAACUCACCUACACAAGGCAUUUUGUAAAGGGCAUAGCAGCCGUGGCAGUUUGUCUUGAAACAGCAAUGGUAAUCUCCGUAUUUUGACUUUUUUCUCAAAAAUGAUCACCAAUAAUUUUUUUCUUAACAUGGCCUUAAGACUCCGUCAUACAGAGGGGAGAAACAUAAAGACCAAUGAAAACUGAAACAUCACAGCUUCAUUUUCUGUUGGAGUUUCUUUAAUAAGUGACUAAAAGAUUGAUCAGCUGUCAAAAUAGUUGGCUGUAUAUCUUUUCGAUGCAUGCGUUUUAAAAUUCAGUGACACUUAUCUAAGCCAUCGGGUGACUUAUGAAGCUACAAGCACAUUUACAAUUUUUCUGUCAGGCAGCACGAACCGUCUCUUUUAAAAAUGGAAUUUUCCUGCUUGAAAAUGUCUGCCGUUAAAAUUCUCAAACCACCAAUGAGAUACUGAGAAAACAGUUUGACGUUUGUUCUUAUUUUUCCAUUCACACAAACACAAAAAAGAACAAUCAAAGAAUAACCGUGUGAUCAUGUUUUGUCUAGGCAGACGAAUAACCAGACCUUACCAUUUCAUGUCUAACCACUAGAAACUUGUGCUAGAGCUUGGUUUGUAAUGAACCUGCCUCUCUAACCCACAGCUACUGGGGAGGAGCUGAAAGAGUCUACUGUAUAACAUCAAUCAAUGAUGUGAAUUCUCAGACAAGUAAAUCCUAAAGCUGACUAUACAAAGGGAAAAAUGUGCUACUGAAGAGUUAUUAUAGCAUACUGUAAUCUGAAACUUGUAAAUGUAUUAGUAACUUUAGUUAUAAAGCACCAAUGAUGACAAUCCAGUUUUAAUUAAAAUUCUUUUAUUAGUUAAGUCUAUUGUCUUUCUACACCAUACAAACACCCAUUAUAAUUUUCACUGAAAAUAAAAUCCUCAUGUACAAAAAUCUACCUCCCAACCAAACUCUCACAGUACCAACAAGGGCCACUGGAAUUACAUUUAAAACAAAAGUCUGCAAUCUGUACACAAAA